GUGUGUGUGUGUGUGUGUGUGUGUGUGUGUGUGUGUGUGUGUUUGUAAUGCUAUACUUGUGAGGACCAAUUCAUGACAAAACACCUUUUAAGUGAGGACAUUUCGAUAAAGUGAGGACAAAAUUGAGGUCCUCACUUUAUUUUGCUCAAUAAUGGCUCCAGGGGGGCUGGGCAUCAUGCUGUGGGAGUUUCCCAAAUGUCCUUAUUUUUAUAGCAAAUCAUGACACUAGGUGUGUUUGCUUAAUUCUCCUGAGCUCCCCCUAAAGGCAGACGGGUUUACGGCAGCUUUUUUUGAUUGGCUGCAAGAGGAUGACUCUUCACAGUUUCUGAUUGGACGGUUCGCUCAUUGUUCGGUCGGAUUGAUAGGCUGAAUGAUAGACCAAUGGAAUAUGCUCUUUUUAGAUGUUUUGACAUUAAGACCAUAUAUGUAAAUGACAAUGCGCUCACGUGGGCCGGAUUAAAGGGAUCGGUAUAGCGGAAGACAGAGGCUGCAUCAACACCACAGCACCUGCAAGGCCAGGUACAUGACAAGGACAACACGACAGAGUAAGUCAUGAUUUUAAUACUAAUUCAUUAAUUAUUAGCUCAUGCUGUCGAGCAAUUAAGUAACUAAUUAAGUGUUGACUUAUGAAUUUGUAUCUGAGUGCUGCCACAGUCAGCUGUUCCUCAGUGAACACCUUCAUUCACCUCAGCUGAUUAAGAUAUAACAUAGAAAGAUAUUCAGCUGAGUUAAGUUUGUUAGUGAGCUGUUGAAGUCUGAUUGUACCUGACGGAGAGAUCGCUAAUGACGGCUGAGAGAGAGAGAGAGAGAGAGAGAGAGAGAGAGAGAGAGAGAGAGAGCAGCGCAGCAGUGGGGGAGGGGAGCUGCUCUCUCUCUACUCCUCAUCCAUCAAUUAAUGAACUCUCAUUAACAGCAAACAGCUGAUUGACACUCAAUGCACGAUCAUAAUCACUAAUAACAUUUACACUUCAGUUUCUGAUUAUAUUUGACUCAGUUUUAUAACUUUUUUAAAUUAAAAAAAGUAUUUAUUCCUAAAGCAGCAUCCUGAAUGCAUCAUGACUUAGAAACAACCUUAAAAUAAUGUUGUAUAUAAUAAUUAUAACAUAAGUUAUAAAACAUUAUAAUACUUCAUACUUUUAACUACAUAUUUGUUCUCAUAGCUUUCAAGAGUAAGCUAGAUUAAACAGCAGAGUAAAACUGUAUACUUUACAUCUGCACAGUACUGAGCUGCAUCAUACUCUGCUUUUUCACACUGUUCUUGAUUUUAUUUUAAGGCAGAUGUCUUCAACAGGUGUUUAAGUGUGACUACAUUGACUGCUAUAAGAGUUGACGAGUUAACAAGUGUUGGAGAGCAGGCGCCACCCCUCCCCCACUGCUCUGCUCUGCUCUGCUCUGCUCUGCUGGGGGAUGGGGGAGGGGCGCUGCUGCUGAUCACACACACACACAGCAGACUCUACACCUGUAAGCUGAGCUGGCCUUCAUCAGCUCACAGUCACUGUGUGUAUUUAAAACAUCAUAUAUUCAUACAUAUUUAUAAAUAUUAAGCCACUGAUUAUCAAGAAGUGGGGAAAAAAUAGGACACAAUGUUAAAAUAAAUUGAUCUACAUUUUUAUAUGUCCUAAACUAUGAUAAAACCUCCCAACUUCUCAUUUUUGAUCAAAGCAUGUUUUUAACUUUGCAGACAUUAUUGCAGCAUCAUCAGACAGUCACUAAACUGCUAUCAGGAGGAUUUAACUAAUCACAUUCUCAUGUUAGACAUCAUAUUUUCACAUGAACAACAAUUCAUCAACCACUGUAAAAUAUCAAUGAAAUAUUUCAAAAUCUACAUCUGAAUGAGCUGAGGAAAAUCUGCAUUUAGUCAUUUUAGCUAUCCAAUGCACUGAAUCUAUGAGCAGUUAUAAUAAUUAGGACACAUGUUUGUUGUCAUCACUUUGUAAAGCAGAUUAAGACUGUUUGCUUUAGGUCUGCACAGUACUGAGCUGCAUCAUACUUUACACUUUCCCACACUGUCCUUGAUUUUAUUUUAAGGCAGAUGUCUUCAACAGGUGUUUAAGUUUGACUACAUUGACUGCUAUAAGAGUUAACGAGUUAACAAGUGUUGGAGAGCAGGCGCCACCCCUCCCCCACUGCUCUGCUCUGCUCUGCUCUGCUCUGCUGGGGGAUGGGGGAGGGGCGCUGCUGCUGAUCACACACACAGCAGACUCUACACCUGUAAGCUGAGCUGGCCUUCAUCAGCUCACAGUCACUGUGUGUAUUUAAGACAUCAUAUAUUCUUACAUAUUUAUAAAUAUUAAAACACUUUCCCACACAGCCCUGGCUUUAUCUAAUGGGCAUUGUCUUAAACAGUUCUUGAUAUCCUGUAGCUGUUUAAAAGAUUACUAAACUUCUCUUACUUUACAUGAAUCAGACAAAUCCACUUAAAAUCAUUAUGACCACAUCACAGAACAUUUCUCUGCUGGUAUAAUGCAUCAUACUCUUAAAGGCUUUGACCACAAUUAGGCAAGUAUUAUAAUGCAUUGUAAGUUGUGAAUAUUUAUCAGCUCAGAUGCAUUGUUAAAUUAUAAAGAGGCAAACAGAACUGUGAGAAAUGUGUUCACUUCACCUCUAAUCUAGCUGUUUUUGUUUUCAGCAUGAUAUCUAAGAGACAUGUUUGCAUAUCUCCUGUUAAAUGUUCUCUGUGUUAGAUUAAUAAAUUAAUAGCUAGAUUAUUAGUUUUCUUUCAUCUUUGAGUUGAUGUAAAAAUGUUUAAUUACAGAUGACAAAAAAGAAAAACCAAGAGUGAUGAGGGGGAGCAAGAUGGACAGAAGAGAGAUGAGGAAGAGGAAAUAAGCAAUGCUUCUUAUUUUGUUAGUGACAUCUCUACAGAGAAGACUCUAAAAUGAAGAGACAUGUCCAUUGUCCAUGUACCUCUGUCAGCCACCAGCGUCACCUCACUUAAACUGAAGACUCUGAUAAUGAAGACACAUGUCCCCGUACCUCUGUCUGCCACAAGCGUCACCUCGCUCAAACUGAAGACUCUGAUAAUGAAGACACAUGUCCCCGUACCUCAAGUUCUGUCAUCACUGGCCAGAAUCAGGAGAUCAUUCAAAUGAUGACAGGACAGAAGGCUGCAGUGAGGCCUAGGACAGCUGAUGAGCAGGCUGCUGCAGUGAAGGCAACCCUGGACAACCCUUUGUUCUGAAAAAAUCUCCAGGAAAAGUGGGCAGGCAGGCUUACCUUCAAAACAAUCCAUUUAUUCCCUCCAGACCCUGGAUUAACGUAAACGACUUUUGUUUAUAAGACAAUCCAGUCCAAGAAAAGAAGAAUAAUUUGAGCACAUCACUGUUCUGUUUAAGUUUGCUGCAUGGGAACACAUCUCUUAGUUUCUCUGCUGUGUUCCUUUUAUUUAAAACCUUUUGAUUCUCUUAUUGAGCAUUGAGUCACUACUCAACAUUUCUGUAAAAUUCAGAAAAUGGUGAUAAAAUAUGGUCAAAAGUUAAGCUGUGUUAGAAUAAAUUAAUCUUGAUGUUGUAGAAUAACUGAUAGAAAUGUACACUAUAAUUAAAACUAUUUACACAAUU